rnacentral:rRNA from 1 species
AUUGAACGCUGGCGGAUGCUUUACACAUGCAAGUCGAACGGUAGAGGGGGCAACCCCUCGAGAGUGGCGAACGGGUGAGUAAUAUAUCGGAACGUGCCCAGUCGUGGGGGAUAACGUAGCGAAAGUUACGCUAAUACCGCAUACGAUCUAAGGAUGAAAGCGGGGGAUCGCAAGACCUCGCGCGAUUGGAGCGGCCGAUAUCAGAUUAGGUAGUUGGUGGGGUAAAGGCUCACCAAGCCAACGAUCUGUAGCUGGUCUGAGAGGACGACCAGCCACACUGGAACUGAGACACGGUCCAGACUCCUACGGGAGGCAGCAGUGGGGAAUUUUGGACGAUGGACGCAAGUCUGAUCCAGCCAUUCCGCGUGCAGGAUGAAGGCCCUCGGGUUGUAAACUGCUUUUGUACGGAACGAAAAGGUCUCUCUUAAUACGGGGGGCUCAUGACGGUACCGUAAGAAUAAGCACCGGCUAACUACGUGCCAGCCGCCGCAGUAA